CCUCUCCUCUAAAAAAAAAAAACGCUGUGGAGGAAAAUUACAAGUCGCCGGAGGACCAAACCUAGCCGCCGGCGGACGGCCGGAGCUCUCCAGUCGCCACGCCGCCGGAUAGUAAAGAGGAGAUUACGCCGGCACACUUCCGAGACUUGCCCCAGCCGCCCACCGCGGGAGGCUCCGUCGACGUUGGCCGUCGCGACGGCCCUCCGCCGCUCGCCGGCUCCUUCCUCUCUCGUCGCCUGUCCAGGAGGCAGCCGGGGAGGCCCUCCGCGGCUCCAUGCCGACCGCAGCGAGCGCGCGGAAUUCCGCCGGACAAGGUCGUUUUCUUUUCUGGCUGUUGAUUAGAGAUGAGAUGAGACUAUGAGGAGCACACAUGCUUAAUGCUUUGCAAAAGUUGUGUACAGUACUUAAUUUGCUAUGUACUCAUUUGCCUCCAUGUAAAUGCAAGUAAAAACUAUAUGUUUCUAUAGUAAUCUGGGAAAAUUUCAGCAGAUGAUGGUUUUUUAAUCAGAAGGGCGUUUUAAUUUUCUCACCGUUAACUUUGAGCCCAUCAUCUCCCAAUUUUCUGCUGAACAUUAUCUGAUUGCUGGAUAUUGAUGGAAAACUUGGCUCACCAUACUCCUGAUUGCUGGAUAUUGAUGGAUUUCCUGUAAUUUCAUAGCCUAUGGUAAUCUUCCAUAUUGUGGAUUUGCCAACAUCAAUCCAAUUCGCAUGGAUGAUCCUUUUGUGCUACUAACAAUGUCAGCUGGCACUGCUUUCAGAUCCACAAGUGCAUCGAGCCGUACUAGCCAGCAAGAACUCCCCCAAGCCUCUUUGGCAUUCUAUGUGUCAGGGUGUGUCCUGUUGGUAUUGCUAUAAGGAUGGAGAGGGAGGAUGGUUCAGAGCUUGUUUUGUGGACGGAGGAAUUCCUUUCGCAGGAGAGGGGCGGCCACAUUGUGCAUUGCUACUGGAAGACGCCAUGGGCGUGUCUCACCUCAGUCAAGGUUACAGAGCGGAGGUUCAGCCACAUGCUCUAGGCGUGUCAGAAGACUUCCAUGGGCCACAGGGAUGCGGUGGUGUUGAUGGUGGGCAGGGGAUGUUUGCACGUAAGUGGCAGUUGCACUGUGAAGGGGUGGAUUGGCUUGGCUCCUUCCUUCCAACGAAGCCCGGGCCCCUCACCUCAAAAAACGGAGGACCCGCGCGACCGAAUCAUCAUCAGGGUCUAUGUAGCAGUAGCGCGCACACCAACCGCGCCGAGUAAGUCGAACAAGCAAGAAAAAAGGGCCCGAAAAGAUCCGGCUGGCUUGACCCCGUUGCACCCGCCAAGAAAUUAUUUCGUCAAGACCAUGUGCAAAGAGAGCUCCUGAUCAGGGGAUUAACUAAUUGACGACGGCGGACCUGGCGUGAUCUACCGCCACCUGUCCUGCUCAUGCAUCCGACGGACGCCUGCUCUGGCUUCCUCCGUGGGCUCUAGAGCACGUUCCAGUUCAUGUUCACUUGAACCGAUUCACAUACAUACGGCCGGAUUUGAUGCUCUGAUAUGAAUUGGGAUGGCACGGGUUUGGGACACUUAUGAUAUCUGCCAACAGCGAGGCUUCUCCUUCUCGCAGGUCUGAGGCACGUGUGCAGUGGACUGCACGUGUGUGUGCUUAAGUUACUUUUAAGGGAUAUCCUCCGAGGGACAGGGAUAUCCCUUCUAUGCGAGGGAUGCCACCUAUUUGGAUCCGAGGCGAGGGAGGACAGGGGCAAUCAGAUGCCA